rnacentral:rRNA from 1 species
AACGAACGCUGGCGGCAUGCCUAACACAUGCAAGUCGAACGAGACCUUCGGGUCUAGUGGCGCACGGGUGCGUAACGCGUGGGAACCUGCCCUUAGGUUCGGAAUAACUCCCCGAAAGGGGUGCUAAUACCGGAUAAUGUCUUCGGACCAAAGAUUUAUCGCCUUUGGAUGGGCCCGCGUUGGAUUAGCUAGUUGGUAGGGUAAAAGCCUACCAAGGCGACGAUCCAUAGCUGGUCUGAGAGGAGGAUCAGCCACACUGGGACUGAGACACGGCCCAGACUCCUACGGAAGGCAGCAGUGGGGAAUAUAGGACAAUGGGCGAAGGCCUGAUCCAGCAAUGCCGCGUGAGUGAUGAAGGCCUUAGGGUUGUAAAGCUCUUUUACCCGGGAUGAUAAUGACAGUACCGGGAGAAUAAGCUCCGGCUAACUCCGUG